rnacentral:rRNA from 1 species
AACGAACGCUGGCGGCAUGCCUAACACAUGCAAGUCGAACGAGAGCUCCGGGGCUUGGGUCGCACGGGUGCGUAACGCGUGGGAACCUGCCCUUAGGGUCGGAAUAACUCCCCGAAUGGGGUGCUAAUACCGGAUAAUGUCUUCUGACCGAAGAUUUAUCGCCUUUGGAUGGGCCCGAGUUGGAUUAGCUAGUUAGUAGGGUAAAAGCCUACCAAGGCGACGAUCCAUAGCUGGUUUGAGAGGAAGAUCAGCCACACUGGGACUGAGACGCGGCCCGGACUCCUACGCGAGGGAGCAGUGGGGGAUAUUGGAAAGUGGGCGAAAGCCUGAUCCAGCAAUGACGCGUGAGUGAUGAAGGCAUUAGGGUUGUAAAGCGCAUUUAACCGGGAUGAUAAUGACAGUACCGGGAGAAUAAGCUCCGGCUAACUCCGUG